UACAGAGGGUGCAAGCGUUGUUCGGAAUUAUUGGGCGUAAAGCGCGUGUAGGCGGCUUGGCAAGUCGGGUGUGAAAUCCCUCAGCUCAACUGAGGAAGUGCGCCCGAAACUGCUUUGCUUGAGUGCCAGAGAGGAUGGCGGAAUUCCCCAAGUAGAGGUGAAAUUCGUAGAUAUGGGGAGGAACACCGGUGGCGAAGGCGGCCAUCUGGACGGAUACUGACGCUGAGACGCGAAAGCGUGGGUAGCAAACAGG
rnacentral:rRNA from 1 species